rnacentral:rRNA from 1 species
GGUAAUACGAAGGGGGCUAGCGUUGUUCGGAAUCACUGGGCGUAAAGCGCACGUAGGCGGACUUGCCAGUCAGGGGUGAAAUCCCGGGGCUCAACCUCGGAACUGCCUUUAAAACUGUUGGUCUGGAGUUCGAGAGAGGUGAGUGGAAUUCCGAGUGUAGAGGUGAAAUUCGUAGAUAUUCGGAGGAACACCAGUGGCGAAGGCGGCUCACUGGCUCGAUACUGACGCUGAGGUGCGAAAGCGUGGGGAGCA